AUUGAACGCUGGCGGCAUGCCUUACACAUGCAAGUCGAACGGCAGCACGGGAGCAAUCCUGGUGGCGAGUGGCGAACGGGUGAGUAAUAUAUCGGAACGUGCCCAGUCGUGGGGGAUAACGCAGCGAAAGCUGUGCUAAUACCGCAUACGAUCUAAGGAUGAAAGCGGGGGAUCGCAAGACCUCGCGCGAUUGGAGCGGCCGAUAUCAGAUUAGCUAGUUGGUGGGGUAAAGGCCCACCAAGGCGCCGAUCUGUAGCUGGUCUGAGAGGACGACCAGCCACACUGGAACUGAGACACGGUCCAGACUCCUACGGGAGGCAGCAGUGGGGAAUUUGGGACAAUGGGCGCAAGCCUGAUCCAGCAAUGCCGCGUGCAGGAUGAAGGCCUUCGGGUUGUAAACUGCUUUUGUACGGAACGAAACGGCCCUUUCUAAUACAGGGGGCUAAUGACGGUACCGUAAGAAUAAGCACCGGCUAACUACGUGCCAGCCGCCGCCGUAACAC
rnacentral:rRNA from 1 species